UAACAUGAUCAUUUUAUUUAAAUUAUAUGGGCUGAUUAUCCAUGCUUGAAAAUAAAAAGGGGAGGGGAUACACAUGCAUUGAAAAAUAGUUGCAUUAUCUUUUUAUGGACAAGAAGGGAAGGCAAGAGAGAAAACAUAAUCCUUUCAUCCCCAAAUUACAAAUCAGCUAAUUGAGCUGCAACAACAAAUGUCAUUCACUUGAAUUCAUGAAAGUAGUUUAAAAAAUAAGAUUUUAAAUUAUUUCAGGCAAUAGCUCAAAUAUAUUAACUUUUGCUUAGCAAAACAAGGUCAGAGAAGCAAGUAUACCCUCUGCGUUUCCAAGGAUGUUUUGCAAAACACUCCUUCAAUGGGAUCCAGCCUUGACUUUCACACGUGAAUGAUGAAAAGCUUUGUUUCCCUUCCACCAGUGUUUUUCCAGGCAGUGGUGGACUGCCUGGAAAAAGGCUCAAGAUUUUGUUUGUUCUGAGUACUCUAAAAACAAACAAACAAACAAACAAACAAAACCCUAAAAACCCCCCAAACCUAGUGGUUCUCUGAUUCUGGUGUCAGGUAAAACGAGCAAAGAGGACAAAAGUCAGAUGCAGCCUGCUCUGAGGCUCUAUCUAGUACUAUAAACCCUUCUGCUCCAAAGGCAAAAGGCUAAUUGAGCUGCUCCAGGCAACAGCAGUGCUUAUCAGAGCUGAUUUAUUUUGUGGUCUAUUAUUGCUGACAUCACCUCAGCUACCAGGGAAAGUGCUAGAAAUCCUUUUGUUUCUGUGAAAGGACAUUUUGUCUUAUGCAAAAGCAGCACUUGCUGAGGCUCUCACGUAUCAGAGCCUCCACCCCCUCUAGAAAGGGUGUCUAAAAUUUGUUUGGAUUUGAUAAGCAUUUUGAAUUUAGGACUAUUAAGCCUCGAGGAGAGAAAUUGGCAGUGUACUUUAUUAUGCUGCUCUCAAGCAAACACGUUCACUCCCCCUCAACUGCUCUUUCCCUCUCCUGAUGUCCCUAUCAUGAGUAUAUGCUUUAGCAGCCUAUUAUGUUCCAUGCAUAGUUCAAAAAUGCAAAUAAAAGCACCGAGUUCCAAAUGGGAUCUGCAGUAAGGCCCGAAUGGGGAUUGCAAUUGAACUUGUUAAGCUAAUCUCAUUGAAAAAAACAUCUUCCCAAUUGUCUAGGAAAGGUCUGUAUAAUGCAAUUUGGCUCUAGCUUGCCUAGGAAAUACAGCUGACCCCUGGUUGUCAUGAGAAAUAUCCAUAUAGACUGGACAGCCUCCCUAUAUACCAGAGCCAGUUUAUGCUAACAGAGCUUUAUACUUUUUGCUAACAGAGCUGUUUUACAUCACUGACGGUUUCUAUAUCAAUUUAGUUAAGUUGAUGCAAGAAGGUCCAGGAACAGUUUUUCUCCUUUAAAAAAACCUAAAAUAUGCCAUUUUGAAUUAUUCAAAUGAGACAGAUAAUAUCAGUUAAAUUAAAACAACCCAUAGGUUUAUGCCUGAAUAAUCUCAUGUUUGAUUGAAGAAUACUUAAAUCUACAACUAACUUUUCCUGACAUCUCGGUGAUGUCAAGCUGAUUACAUAAUUCUUGACCCUCCUUGCCUUCCCUACUAAAUGUAGACUUCAUUAGGAGAACUAAAUGAGAAAAUUUUAUUCCUAUUAAUUACAUUAUUCUGCAAAUGAAAAGAAAAUAGAUUAAUACAAGGAAAAGAAUUCUCCUAACAAAAUCAGAACAUAAGCCAGUAAUUCACAAGAAAAAUACUUUCUCCAUUGCACCUGUUCAGAUCUUUACUGCUAGAAAUUUCUUUUAAGUAAGGAAGAGAGGUAUGGUCCUUUUAUCUCUGACAUGAGCUCUUCAGCAAAUUUGGGAUAUCCCUUGUUCAGAAACAACUAUUAAUAAUACUCGUAUGCUUUGAUUUUUGUAUGGAUCUCUUUCAUAGCUUUAUUACUGUCAGAACUCUAUGUUAACAUAAAGAACCUCCAAAACACCUAUUAAAUCUAUACUUAGGUAAUAAGUGCUUGGGUUUUUAAUUUUUUGUUUUUUAAUUUUAACAUGUGCCCACUGAAGAAAAGAGCUAAGACAUAAGCCAUCUUUUAAAAUACCAAGUGAACUUCGGCUCUAAUUAUUUCUUGCCCUUUAUCCUCUUCAACCUCAAAUUUCUCCUUUUAUUAAUAUCUGAGCCUACUGGACAAAUGGAAAAAAAGAGUAACAGAGGGGAAAAAUCCUUAAAUAUGCAUUUUCUUUUUCUAUGUGUUUAAUGAUUCAAGUACUGUUUACCAGAAAGAGAAAAAAUAAAGUAAAAUCUAAAUUGCUAAAUCUGUAAAUUGAAUGUGUAUCCUAAGCUACUACUUACCAAUGUCAGUGCUCAUGAUUUAGAAUCCACUUGGAAGUAGUUGUUUUAAUUUAUCAAUUCAAAUGAUCCCUUACAGCAAUUUUGCAAUUCAUCUAGAAAUCAUCUUCAGGAAGGCAGUCCUUAGGGGAGUGUCACUGCUGCAUUACUUUAGAGAUGACCACAGCAGUAUGAUUUGGCCCAUAAAAGUUGGUUUAUUUUCAUCCACUUCAGAGACAUGAGAGGUGCAUAGGAAUAAGCUGUAGACAAGGUAUAAAAGCACUCCAAAGGAGGUUGAUUUACUCUAGAGGGAAAAAAUCAUCUUGUGAAAUCCUAAAUUAAAGGUUUUGGUUUAAUUACAAUUUUGCCCUAGGGUUUUGGCUGUUAAGAAGAAUGAGCUAUAUAAUCUGUUCUCUGUCACUCAAGAACUACCAGUCCUUAGAAAUCUGACUUUUUGAAGCAAUGAUGCUAAGAAGAAAGACUAACCUGGAGCACCACUUGCCUAGCAAGCAGGAGGUAUAUUACUGGGCUAGAAGCACAUAGUACUGGCUAGCAUAACUAACUGCAGAUUAAAAGUCACUGUCAGGAAAGCACUUUGGUUCACCCUCAGCUUCCAGCAUGGAUGACAGCUGCUCAGUGUCAGAUAUUGUAUGUGUUAGUGAAGUGGUCUGAGCCAGACACUGCCUCUUAUCAAGGCCAGAAGAGAUGACCAGCAAGCAGCUUUACCUGUCUCCUGCCACUACAGAUAGAGAACACAGGGACAAUGUGGCGGUGCAGCUGCUGUUGUUGCACUCUGGACUGACCUGAGAGGUUUCAUGCUGGCUUUACAUGACUUGUUUUCAACACACUCCACAAAAGCUGAUGCCUGCAGGUAUGUGUAGGACUGGAAACAGACAGAGGCAAGGACAUAAUUUCCCAGAGCUGCCUGCAGAACUUACCCUUAUUUUUGAUCCAUGAGACAGCUGGAACCAAUGUAAUAGGCCCUUGAGUAGGAGAAAAGCUGCUUGCCAUCAUUAAAGCAGUGGAGAACAUAUAUUCAAAGAAGCCCCCACAAAAAAAAAAAACAACCAGUGUUAAACUAAAGCUUAGAGCUCUGCCUAUGCCCUUGUAUGGUGUGGUCUCAGGCACUGAAAAGAAGACAAGGGAGAGCAAAAACACCUGGGGUCAUCAGAGCACGGUGGGGAAUAUCACAUUCCAGGCAUCUUGCAGAGGCAGCAAGUGAUCUCAUGCCCAGUCACAGAAUUCAUGCAAGUAGCUUGGUACCUCUGCCUUACUACAAACCCAUUUUAAGAGUGUGUCUGGACUGGUGCCAGAGCAUUCAACACCUCGCAGAACUGCGCUCUCUCUGCACUAAAAAUAUAAUUCAGGUUUUUUGUAGUUGCUGGAAACAUCAAUGGGAAAUCCAGGACACAGGUUAGUGGGGAAGACAUGGUUGCAAGACAGGCCUGCCAACAAAAUCUUUCUAGGAAAGCAGACCCCAGUGGAGCAGUAGGUGAGGCAUCUGGGCAGCCCCUUCUGCCCAUGCGACAGCCAGGGUGCUGCAAGGCCAGGAGCUGGAUGGCAGCACCAGCUCCCUGCUCACAGCCUGGUGGGGCUCACAUUGCUGUGGGAGGAGAGGAACUGAUGAGCUGCAUCGGCUUUCCACAGCCUUCCAAGACAAGAGGCGACUGGGGCUGUGGAUUAUGGUGUUGGUACUACAGAUAAAUAUUUAUUAAUGAUUAAAAAUCUUCAUUAAACUUCAUUAAACCUACUGAACUCAUGAGGCUAUGAUAAUGUAAAGAAGCAGCAAAAAAGCCAUCUCUUUCAAAAGAUUUGUUUUUACCACCUUGUUCAUACUCAUGGUUUCAAGUGUGAGCACUUUGAAGGAGUCAGUAAAAUACAGACAGUUAAUAGUCAUAGUGAAUAUCUGCUGUUUAGAUCAAUGCUCAGCUUCUCCAGUCAUCUGUCAGGAUUACUUUGAUCCCACAAAUCCCUAUGUUUUGCUGCAGGGCAGCAGCCCUGUGGAAAAAAGAUUGAAUGAUCUCUACCUUUUUUUGUUUAGGGCUACCAUAUAGAGUUAACAUGUUCAGUGAGUUCUCCCACUGCCCUGUGCUGUAAACAGCAGUGGAGUGCACUUGCUCAGCUGCAGCUGCUAAGGAGAAGUAUGGCAGCUUCCCGACCAUACUAUAAACUGCCAGUUUUCUUUUUCUGCCCAGUUUGGAACUGACCAUCCGUGCUCUUGUGUAAAGGCUGAAAUCUGGGUCAAUCAACCUGAUGUAUGACAACAGAGAAUAAUAUCUGCCCAGAGCUGUGACUGAUCUGUACAACUGUCUGCAGAGUGUUUGUCUCUGCUUCCCACUCUGCCUCACCACCAUUUCAGCCCUUCGGCCCUGGCUCACCCAUCAUCUCCUCACACAACACAGAGGACAUCCACCCACUCACCAGCCAUACAUGUGAAAUAGUAGGAAAUAAUGCACCUUAUUAAAGUUAUAGGGAAAGAAAAGUAUUUGAGAAGGAGACAAUGUCAAACCUUUACCACAGUGACAGAUGACUCAACCUGAUUUUAGCAAAGACACUGUUUUUCCACUAUACUUUAUAUGUAAAAAUAUAGAUUUUGAGUAAUUGCAUAUGCACAGAUGAAAGAGGGAAAGGGCUUUAUGAAGGGACACUAACCUACUUGACAGCAGAAGCUAUUUUUAAAUUUCCAGUUUAAAAUUUACAAUUUACAAUGUACGAUUUAAAAAAUUAAAUGUACAAAUAAAAGACCCAAACUUCUGGUCAUCUUCCUCUCCUCAAUAUUUAUUAUCCUCUACCUAUAAAAAUAAUUUCCAUUUUCCAUUUCCCUGAAUAUCUGAGUUAAUGUCCCCAGCUUUUUCAUAAUUCCACAUACUUUGUACACAAUACAGAGACACUUUCCUGAACUAAUCUGUUUGUCAGAUAACUUGUCUUCAAACAAUUAGCUACAUCAGGAUUUCUCUGUAGCAAAUCAAUAGCUUUGGCUCAGGCAGAUAUAAGCUUUAGCAGGUUGACACGCCUCUCAAAAUAAAUCACACAAAAUGGCAAGGGGCUGUUACAGUAAGCUGCUUGAAAAUAA
ensembl:lncRNA